UACGUAGGGUGCGAGCGUUGUCCGGAAUUAUUGGGCGUAAAGAGCUUGUAGGUGGCUCGUUGCGUCGGGAGUGAAAACCUGCGGCUUAACCGCAGGCCUGCUUCCGAUACGGGCGAGCUAGAGUUCGGCAGGGGAGACUGGAAUUCCUGGUGUAGCGGUGGAAUGCGCAGAUAUCAGGAGGAACACCGGUGGCGAGGGCGGGUCUCUGGGCCGAUACUGACACUGAGAAGCGAAAGCGUGGGGAGCGAACAGG
rnacentral:rRNA from 1 species